UGCAGCGGAGACCAAGAUCCAGCACAAAAGUAUAUGGGAAAAGCCAAAUUCUUCAUCAACUUCUGACAACUCAGGCCUGCAUUUUUCCAUUGACUUUGGUAUUAACCAAAUCAGACUAAUAGCCACUUUGAGAGGCUCCUUGGCAAAAUUCACAAUGAAACAAACAAAGAUCUCCUGUCAGCUCAACGUUUUUCAAAGAAAUACUGAAUAUAACUUAGCCCAGCACCUGAAGGUUGAAGUACCAAAACAAAAUGCGUGUUGCAGGCCAGAGGCACUUGGUCAAGAUAAACACCUGAAAGUCAGGAUUUCCAUGUCAAUUAAAGGUCUGUAUAU
rnacentral:lncRNA from 1 species